UACAGAGGUCUCAAGCGUUGUUCGGAUUCAUUGGGCGUAAAGGGUGCGUAGGCGGCGCGGUAAGUCGGGUGUGAAAUCUCGGAGCUUAACUCCGAAACUGCAUUCGAUACUGCCGUGCUUGAGGACUGGAGAGGAGACUGGAAUUUACGGUGUAGCGGUGAAAUGCGUAGAUAUCGUAAGGAAGACCAGUGGCGAAGGCGGCUCUCUGGACCGAUACUGACGCUGAGGCGCGAAAGCGUGGGGAGCAAACAGG
rnacentral:rRNA from 1 species